UUGGGGAGCAGAGCAUGAGUG
rnacentral:miRNA from 1 species